CGGGGCGUGGCGCAGCCUGGUAGCGCACUUGCAUGGGGUGCAAGGGGUCCCGAGUUCGAAUCCCGGCGCCCCGACCA
rnacentral:tRNA from 22 species